CAAAAUUAACACAAAAAUCAGUCUGCUAAAAGCUAGCACAAGAGCAGACCAUAGCAGACACUCUGCAGAGCUAGAGAUGGCUGAGGCAAAUCUUGGAAGCAAACGUACUGUGCCUGCGACAGCCACAAGAGAAAGCAUGGAAACAAAAAAGAGGAAGAGCUUAGUAGCAUCACUUCCAAAAAAAAUGGCUGAGCAGAUGUCUCAUUUCAGGUUUUCUGGAAGCCCAAAGCGUAAAUUUAGGUUGCCUAAGAGAGGAGAACCUGCUGAAGCUGGCCCUCGUGCACGUACACCGGUACCGCUUGGUCCAAGACCCACAGAACCACACAGCCCAAAUGACACACCUCUCCCAACGUCUACACCGCUUGGUCCAAGACCAACAGAACCACAAAGCCCAGAAAACAUAGUGAAGAAGUUGCAGGCUCAAUUUCCCAGUAUUCUAAGCGCAGUUCAUAAAAGUAACUCUACCAUGUGGAUAACUUUCUUUGGUAAUAUCACCACUGUGACUCCAAACGGUCUUCCUUCGUGUAAUCCAAAAGUUCACAUUGAGAUCAGUGACGAUUCAGUCUGCCGACUCGAGGUACACUGUUUAGUUAAAGAUUCAUUCCCUCUUCUUGGCAACGAAAGUCGAGUAGCUUCUCUGAUUGCUACAUUGUUACCUACCAGCGAAUACGUUCUGUGUCCUGGUCUUCCAUCAACACUAACAAAUGAGGUUAAUUUUGAGAGUAAGAGUUUGAGAAAGUGGGUGCCUCUAUUCUCCCGUGCUGAUAACAAGGACUGUGCGCUAUGGUAUGCUAGAGGUAAACCAGGUGCAUCCUCAGAGUCGCGUAUGUGUUACAAAUGUGAUCGACUAUCGACACAUCUUCGGGAUAUGUUGAAAAAGAAGAAAUCCGUCUCACCUGCAACGAAGCUGAAGCGACAAUCUGCUGGCAGCAAUUAUUCCAAGAAAUAUUUGACACCAGAAGAGAGAGUUCUGCGGGCAAGGAAUGAAUAUCUGCAGAAAAAAGUCGAUAAGCGUGUCCUUAAAAAAUGUAAUCCAAGAAGCUGACGAUGCACAUACAUGUAUGAGAACUUAGUUGAACAACAUUCUAAGAGAGAGCUAGUACAUGUACAUCAAUAUUCAGCAAUUGUAAGAGUUAGUGAGGUGUUACGUACACAGCCAGGGUUAAUUUCAGUGUGGUUGAUGUCAGGAGCCCAUAAAUAAGAGAAGGAGCGACUGACUAUGGGGAUCACGUUUCGUAAGUGGUUAUGACCGCAUUUCCAUAUAAUUAUGCAGAGUCACUUAAGUGGUUGAAUCCCUACACGUGUUAUACACAAUACAGGGCUGUGGUUUGCAAGCACUUAGUCGCUUCCAAACAAGGAAGUGCAGUUUCACCGGCAAUUACGAGACGUGAUCCCCGAGUAUACGUUGAAGUUAGCCGCUCCUUCUCUUAUUUAUGGGCUCCUGUUGAUGUUCACCCGCUUAGAACAAGUAAAUUUCCUACUUGCACCUUGUCGACCACCCGCUUGAUAUUUGCAACCCACAUUUCCACCUACUUCUGCAAAAUCCUGAAGUAAACCCUGACAGCCUUGAGAAGAAGUUUAUGGCUAGAGAUAUUGAUUCUACCAGGAGUAGAUGGAGCGUCGAAAUGAGAAAUGAUAUCAUCCUGCUUUGUACAAACAUUGUGCCAUAUACGUCAAGCCGCUGACAUUAUUCACUGUACUUAACGAUGUUUACUAUUAUUAGAUCAAAGACCUUUUAUCAAUCGCACAUUACAAAACAAGGAAAUCAAAGUUACUAGUAAGACAUGUGCUCCAUAUGCCUAGUAAUAUGCCGCAUCUUCUCAUACUGCAUACGUACAUGUAUAUACAUGUAGCUCAAUAGAAGGGCGGAUGAUACAAGGUCAGAGUUCAAUAUUGCUGUGAGAAAACUCGCCAGGGAUUGCCAAACUAUGUCCACCUACAGAUCAGUGUACAAUUAUACAUACGUAGAUAUGUGUCAUCAACUCAUGUAUUUUAGCAAAUUAAUACCAGCACCCAUUAUAACACAUUUUAGGCUACAGGAUCUGAGAUCCUUACAAUGAAUC